UCGGUCUGGUCCUCCACGCGGACCCUUUCGGGUCCCGGGGUAACUGAUCAGGGCGAUGGCCCUCUUCAGUGGUGGUGACAUAAAAUAUAAAAU